rnacentral:rRNA from 1 species
GAUGAACGCUGGCGGCGUGCCUAAUACAUGCAAGUCGAGCGAACAGAUGAGGAGCUUGCUCCUCUGACGUUAGCGGCGGACGGGUGAGUAACACGUGGAUAACCUACCUAUAAGACUGGGAUAACUUCGGGAAACCGGAGCUAAUACCGGAUAAUAUAUUGAACCGCAUGGUUCAAUAGUGAAAGACGGUUUUGCUGUCACCUAUAGAUGGAUCCGCGCCGCAUUAGCUAGUUGGUAAGGUAACGGCUUACCAAGGCAACGAUGCGUAGCCGACCUGAGAGGGUGAUCGGCCACACUGGAACUGAGACACGGUCCAGACUCCUACGGGAGGCAGCAGUAGGGAAUCUUCCGCAAUGGGCGAAAGCCUGACGGAGCAACGCCGCGUGAGUGACGAAGGUCUUCGGAUCGUAAAACUCUGUUAUUAGGGAAGAACAAAUGUGUAAGUAACUAUGCACGUCUUGACGGUACCUAAUCAGAAAGCCACGGCUAACUACGUG